CGCAGGCAAGCGCAAGAUUUGUAGAGGCCAGUGGCAACAUUGGUAGCCCGAAUGGGUGGGACACUCGAACUUGGGGCCUGUAUUUUU
rnacentral:sRNA from 1 species